UACGUAGGGGGCUAGCGUUGUCCGGAAUCAUUGGGCGUAAAGCGCGUGUAGGCGGUCCGGUAAGUCCGCUGUGAAAGUCGGGGGCUCAACCCUCGGAUGCCGGUGGAUACUGUCGGGCUUGAGUACGGAAGAGGCGAGUGGAAUUCCUGGUGUAGCGGUGAAAUGCGCAGAGAUCGGUAGGAACACCAAUGGCGAAGGCAGCUUGCUGGCAUAUUUCUGACGCUAAGGCACGAAAGCGUGGGGAGCGAACAGG
rnacentral:rRNA from 1 species